GACGAACGCUGGCGGCGUGCUUAACACAUGCAAGUCGAACGGUGAAGGGACUGGUUUUGCUGGUCCUGGAUGAGUGGCGAACGGGUGAGUAACACGUGAGUAACCUGCCCCCUUCUUCUGGAUAACCGCAUGAAAGUGUGGCUAAUACGGGAUAUUCUGGGUCUGUCGCAUGGUGGGCCUGGGAAAGAUUGCGCCUUUUUUGGUGUUUUUGGUGGGGGAUGGGCUCGCGGCCUAUCAGCUUGUUGGUGGGGUGAUGGCCUACCAAGGCGGUGACGGGUAGCCGGCCUGGGAGGGUGGACGGUCACACUGGGACUGAGACACGGCCCAGACUCCUACGGGAGGCAGCAGUGGGGAAUAUUGCACAAUGGGCGCAAGCCUGAUGCAGCGACGCCGCGUGAGGGAUGGAGGCCUUCGGGUUGCGAACCUCUUUCGCCAGUGAAGCAGGCCUGCCUCUUUUUGUGGGUGGGUUGACGGUAGCUGGAUAAGAAGCGCCGGCUAACUACGUG
rnacentral:rRNA from 1 species